rnacentral:rRNA from 1 species
CUACGGGACGCUGCAGUGGGGAAUAUUGCACAAUGGACGAAAGUCUGAUGCAGCAACGCCGCGUGGAGGAUGACACAUUUCGGUGCGUAAACUCCUUUUAUAUGGGAAGAUAAUGACGGUAUCAUAUGAAUAAGCACCGGCUAACUCCGUGCCAGCAGCCGCGGUAAUACGGGGGGUGCAAGCGUUACUCGGAAUCACUGGGCGUAAAGCGCAUGUAGGCGGACUUGUAAGUUGGAAGUGAAAUCCUAUGGCUCAACCAUAGAACUGCUUCCAAAACUGCUUGUCUAGAAUAUGGGAGAAGUAGAUGGAAUUUCUGGUGUAGGGGUAAAAUCCGUAGAGAUCAGAAGGAAUACCGAUUGAGAAGGCGAUCUACUGGAACAUUAUUGACGCUCAGAUGCGAAAGCGUGGGGAGCAAACAGGAUUAGAUACCCGUGUAGUC